rnacentral:rRNA from 1 species
AACGAACGCUGGCGGCGUGCCUAACACAUGCAAGUCGAGCGCGAAAGGAGCAAUCCGAGUAGAGCGGCGCACGGGUGCGUAACACGUGGAUAAUCUGCCUCAGGGUUGAGGAUAACCUUCCGAAAGGUUGGCUAAUACUCGGUAAGCUUACGGUGACUUCGGUCGCUGUGAGAAAACUAGACCUCUAUUUAUAAGUUUAGGCCCAGAGAUGAGUCCGCGGCCCAUCAGCUAGUUGGCGGGGUAACGGCCCACCAAGGCUACGACGGGUAGCUGGUCUGAGAGGACGAUCAGCCACACUGGAACUGAGACACGGUCCAGACUCCUACGGGAGGCAGCAGUGGGGAAUUUUCCACAAUGGGCGAAAGCCUGAUGGAGCAACGCCGCGUGUGUGAUGAAGGUCUUCGGAUCGUAAAGCACUUUCGACUGGGACGAAAAACCUUUGGCUAACAUCCAGGGGCCUGACGGUACCAGGAGAAGAAGCACCGGCUAACUCUGUGCCAGCAGCCGCCGUAAAAC